rnacentral:rRNA from 1 species
GUGAACGCUGGCGGUAGGCCUAACACCUGCAAGUCGAACGGCAGCACAGUAAGAGCUUGCUCUUACGGGUGGCGAGUGGCGGACGGGUGAGGAAUACAUCGGAAUCUACUUUUUCGUGGGGGAUAACGUAGGGAAACUUACGCUAAUACCGCAUACGACCUACGGGUGAAAGCAGGGGAUCUUCGGCCCUUGCGCGAUUGAAUGAGCCGAUGUCGGAUUAGCUAGUUGGCGGGGUAAAGGCCCACCAAGGCGACGAUCCGUAGCUGGUCUGAGAGGAUGAUCAGCCACACUGGAACUGAGACACGGUCCAGACUCCUACGGGAGGCAGCAGUGGGGAAUAUUGGACAAUGGGCGCAAGCCUGAUCCAGCCAUACCGCGUGGGUGAAGAAGGCCUUCGGGUUGUAAAGCCCUUUUGUUGGGAAAGAAAAGCAGCAGGUUAAUACCCCGCUGUUCUGACGGUACCCAAAGAAUAAGCACCGGCUAACUUCGUG